rnacentral:rRNA from 1 species
AGAGUUUGAUCAUGGCUCAGGACGAACGCUGGCGGCGUGCCUAAUACAUGCAAGUCGAGCGGACAGAUGGGAGCUUGCUCCCUGAUGUUAGCGGCGGACGGGUGAGUAACACGUGGGUAACCUGCCUGUAAGACUGGGAUNAACUCCGGGANAACCGGGGCUAAUACCGGAUGCUUGUUUGAACCGCAUGGUUCAAACAUAAAAGGUGGCUUCGGCUACCACUUACAGAUGGACCCGCGGCGCAUUAGCUAGUUGGUGAGGUAAUGGCUCACCAAGGCAACGAUGCGUAGCCGACCUGAGAGGGUGAUCGGCCACACUGGGACUGAGACACGGCCCAGACUCCUACGGGAGGCAGCAGUAGGGAAUCUUCCGCAAUGGACGAAAGUCUGACGGAGCAACGCCGCGUGAGUGAUGAAGGUUUUCGGAUCGUAAAGCUCUGUUGUUAGGGAAGAACAAGUACCGUUCGAAUAGG